rnacentral:rRNA from 1 species
UUGUUUGGAGAGUUUGAUCCUGGCUCAGGACGAACGCUGGCGGCGUGCUUAACACAUGCAAGUCGAACGGAAAGGCCCCUUCGGGGGUACUCGA